rnacentral:rRNA from 1 species
UACGGGGGGGGGCAAGCGUUGUUCGGAAUUACUGGGCGUAAAGGGCGCGUAGGCGGCCAUCUAAGUCAGACGUGAAAUCCCUCGGCUCAACCGAGGAACUGCGUCUGAUACUGGAAGGCUUGAAUCCGGGAGAGGGAUGUGGAAUUCCAGGUGUAGCGGUGAAAUGCGUAGAUAUCUGGAGGAACACCGGUGGCGAAGGCGGCAUCCUGGACCGGUAUUGACGCUGAGGCGGCGAAAGCUAGGGGAGCAAACGGG